rnacentral:rRNA from 1 species
GACGAACGCUGGCGGCGUGCUUAACACAUGCAAGUCGAACGGAAAGGCCCUGCUUUUGUGGGGUGCUCGAGUGGCGAACGUGUGAGUAACCCGUGAGUAACCUUCCCUUGACUUUGGGAUAACUUCAGGAAACUGGGGCUAAUACCUGAUAGGAGCUCCUGCUGCAUGGUGGGGGUUGGAAAGUUUCGGCGGUUGGGGAUGGACUGGCGGCUUAUCAGCUUGUUGGUGGGGUAGUGGCCUACCAAGGCUUUGACGGGUAGCCGGCCUGAGAGGGUGAACGGCGACAUUGGGACUGAGAGACGGCCCAGACUCCUACGGGAGGCAGCAGUGGGGAAUAUUGCACAAUGAGCGGAAGCCUGAUGCAGAAACGCCGCGUGCGGGAUGAAGGCCUUCGGGUUGUAAACCGCAUUAGCCUGUGACGAAGCGUGAGUGACGGUAAUGGGUAAAGAAGCACCGGCUAACUACGUG